AAUAAUAAAAAAAAAAAAUAAAAAAAUAACGUGAACCCGUAACCGCGGAAGUUUAAUUUCGCCCGGUCGAGUGAGUACCUAUACAUAAUAUUGUAAGAACCGUUAUAGUAUUAUUUAUUAUAUACAUAUUAUAUGCAUGCGCGCAGUGUAUACUGCGGUACUGGGACGGUUGAUCGUCUGGGAAUAGUUGUUCUAACCGUCGAUUUUGAUUUUAUAAAAUAUUUAUAACUUUUGAACGGUCAACGAACUCCUCUCGCUCCUUCAUCAUGAUACAUAUACACAUAUAUAUAUAUAUAUAUAUAUGUGUGUGUGUGUGUGUGUGUAGGUACCCAGUAAUAAUAUUUACCUUUAUUAUCGCUUUACCGAGAAGCGAAUGGGUGCUGGGUGUGUGAUUACAAAAAAAAAAAAAAAAAACAAUUUUAAAAAACUAGUUUUAUCUGCACGAUUAAUUGACUUGUUUGCAUUGCAUGUAUACGUGCAAUGCGUUGUACAUUUACGAUAAAAUGAUGAAUCUUAAUUUGAACUCCAAUGCACCGAGUAAAAAUUAUCACAUAAUCUUACAUUGAUCGGUUUUCA